rnacentral:rRNA from 1 species
UUGAACGCUGGCGGCAUGCUUUACACAUGCAAGUCGAACGGCAGCGGGGGCUUCGGCCUGCCGGCGAGUGGCGAACGGGUGAGUAAUGCAUCGGAACGCGUCCUGUAAUGGGGGAUAACCUGGCGAAAGCCAGGCUAAUACCGCAUACGUCCUGAGGGAGAAAGCGGGGGAUCGCAAGACCUCGCGUUAUAGGAGCGGCCGAUGUCGGAUUAGCUAGUUGGUGGGGUAAAGGCCUACCAAGGCGACGAUCCGUAGCGGGUCUGAGAGGACGGCCCGCCACACUGGGACUGAGACACGGCCCAGACUCCUACGGGAGGCAGCAGUGGGGAAUUUUGGACAAUGGGCGCAAGCCUGAUCCAGCCAUUCCGCGUGAGUGAAGAAGGCCUUCGGGUUGUAAAGCUCUUUCGGCCGGGAAGAAAUCGCAUCCUCUAAUACGGGGUGUGGAUGACGGUACCGGAAGAAGAAGCACCGGCUAACUACGU